UUUCAAAUUGGAUGAACUGCAAUAUUUAAAUAAUUGGAAAUUCCACAUCAAGUUUCGAUAUUGCCAUUUUGUUUUAUAAAAUACUGCCUGUCUUCAUAUGAAUAUGCAUUCUGGCUAUAAUGAAACAGAAGAAAAAACUUAUAUUCCAAAACAAUAUCGUAAACAUUUCCAUUAUGAAAUUGGAAUAAUAAUUAACUGUGUCGUAUUUUUCUGUAUAGUGAUUGCUGUAUGUGUCACUAUCUCAACCAUUCAAAGUAACAAAGUACACAAGAUAGAACUAGAAAAAGCACAGGAGAAUUCAUACCACAUAUUGAUGUCGUCACAUGCUAUUAAUGACACCGAAUCUGUACGGAAUGAACAGAGGAAAGUUCCGUACAGCAUGGUUUCUACCACAGAAUCUGUUGUUAUUUUCAUUACACUGAUUUCAGGUCAACAUGUCCUUUUUACAAAAAACAAAACAACCAACGAUACCAAUUCUUAUACUGGUAAAGAAAGACUAAAGGACCAAGCAGUUUCCUUGUUGGUUAAAGGAGAAUACUCAGCACCUAACACAGACACCAAUACUCAAAAUGCAACAUACACUUUAUUACUAGCACAAGGCAAUAACGUUACAACCGGAUUAAUUAUUCCAAAAGAGGGUCUUUACUACUUAUAUGCGUGUCUACAGUUAACAUGGUAUAAAACGUGGACAGAUAAUUCAGAGGUCACUCAUUAUGUACAGCUACGGUCUGAAAACUUAACUAUCAUUAUCUCAGAAAGAACAAUUCGAAUUCCCCAUGGAAUGUAUAGUACCAGUAGAAUUUUCCUGCCAAUUAAAUUGAAGAAGAACGAUUUGAUAAGCAUGCAUGCGUCAGACAGUUCGUACGUUUAUAACUCAAAAAAGUCAAACAUAAUUGGAGUUUUUAAAGCUUCUGUUGAUCACUAAGUAUCAGAAAAGAUUUACGAUAUUUAUAAGUGUUGUUUGCCAGGGUGCUAGUUUCAUCAUUAUUAGUGUAUUUAUUUACAAUAAAUUGAUUGUUUUCAUUGUGUUUUUAAUAUUUAACAACGCUUCACUUUCCUGUCCUGCUAUGAUACGUGUAUAUUUCUGUUUAGACGAAUCAUUUGGAUAAAUUCGCAUUUCAGAAGAUUUUUUUUUCGCCCGUUGUUUGACUUUAAGGAUCUUUAUGUUUCAGAUUUCUAAAGUUAUAUAAAUCCAAGAAUAUUUAAAAAAAACAAUAUUUGAUUUCCUUCAAAAUCUAAAACUUUUUCAUAGAAAGAGAACUGAAUGCUUCCUUUAAGCUAUUGUGCCGGAAAGAAAAUUGAGUAAAUUAUAUACGUGUACUGUUUUCUUUUUACACUAGCACGAACAGGAAGAUCUUUUUAUAGAUAUUUUACAAAUAUAAGUAUAAGUUAAACAUAUGUCAUAUGCAAUAAGGUAUAAAAUUAAACAUUGUGUCAUAGAGCGAAACUUUGCACAUUUAUUUCUUAUCUCAGAUCGGUAUUUAAUUGCCCACAUUAAUUUACUAUGGUCAAGCGUGUUAAGUAUUUGUAGAUUUAUUGUUUUCAUGAACUUUAGCCGACUGUCUGAUUGACCGUUAAAUUUAAUGUAUGAUACAGCUGUGUUUUAACUGUAAUCAUUUCUAAUUAGAAGCCGUAUAAUUUAUGGUACUGUUUGUUUAUAUUCUGUCCCUAUACUUGUGUGAUCUUGAGGCGAAUGACGAUUUAAUGUGUGAGAAAGUCAUGAAAGUAGGAAAGGCCUUUUCGAUGAUAAAAAAUAGGUGAAUGUUGAGAUGCGAGAGAGUUUAAGAUAGUUAGUGUUAGAGAAUGGAUGUGUCUCUAUAUUGAACAAUGUAAAUUUAAUGAAAGUGUAUAUAUAUGAACUUGUACAUAAUAAAUAUGUAUAUAUGAAAA